UACGUAGGGAGCGAGCGUUGUCCGGAUUUACUGGGUGUAAAGGGUGCGUAGGCGGCUUUUCAAGUCAGAAGUGAAAUGCAUGGGCUUAACCCAUGAACUGCUUUUGAAACUGGGGGGCUUGAGUGCGCCGGAGGUAGGCGGAAUUCGUGGUGUAGCGGUGAAAUGCUUAGAUAUCAGGAGGAACACCGGUGGCGAAGGCGGCUUACUGGACAGUCACUGACGUUGAGGCUCGAAAGCGUGGGGAGCAA
rnacentral:rRNA from 1 species